AUACGGAGGAUCCGAGCGUUAUCCGGAUUUAUUGGGUUUAAAGGGAGCGUAGAUGGAUGUUUAAGUCAGUUGUGAAAGCUUGCGGCUCAACCGUAAAAUAGCAUCUGAAACUGUAUAUCUUGAGUGCAGUUGAGGAAGGCGGAACUCGAUGUGUAGCGGUGGAAUGCUUAGAUAUUACGAAGAACUCCGAUUGCGAAGGCAGCCUGCUAAGAUGCAACUGACAUUGAGGCUCGAAUGUGUGGGUAUCAAACAGGAUUAGAUACCCUGGUAGUCCACACGGUAAACGAUGAAUACUCGCUGUUUGCGAUAUACGGCAAGCGGCCAAGCUAAAGCGUUAAGUAUUCCACCUGGGGAGUACGACGGCAACGGUGAAACUCAAAUGAAUUGACGGGG
rnacentral:rRNA from 1 species